GAGUAGUAUAUGAUUUGGACAGGAAACUUAAAGAAUUUGGCGGUGUUUAUUCUAAUUAGAGGAAUAUGUUUUUGAAUUGAUAUUCCACAAAUAUCUUGCUUAAAUUUUUAUAUUAUGUAUAUCUCCGUCUUAAAAAGAUUUUCUAAAAUAUUCUUUUUAUUUUAUAAUUUAAAAUAAGUCAGGUCAAGGUGCAGAUUAUAUUUAAGUUAAAAUGUAUUACAAUAAAAUUAUUUUUGGAUUUUAGUUUAAAAUUUAAAUGAAAAUGGAUUUAUUAGUAAUUUUUUUUACAUAAUAAUUAAUUGAAUAAUGUUAAUAAGCAUGCACACAUCGCCCG
rnacentral:rRNA from 1 species